GACGAACGCUGGCGGCGUGCUUAACACAUGCAAGUCGAACGAAGUGGCGAACGGGUGAGUAACGCGUAAUCAACCUGCACUUCAGAGGGGGACAACAGUUGGAAACGACUGCUAAUACCGCAUACUUAAGGAGGUGAUUGCGUCUGAUUAGCUAGUUGGCGGGGUUACGGCCCACCAAGGCGAUGAUCAGCAGCCGGUCGGGGAGGAGGAACCGCCACAUGGGGAAUGGGACACGGCCCAGACUCCUACGGGAGGCAGCAGUGGGGAAUCUUGCGCAAUGGACGAAAGUCUGACGGAGCAAAGCCGGGGGAGUGAUGACGGCCUUCGGGUUGUAAAGCUCUGUUAAUCGGGACGCGGUACCGGAAUAGAAAGCCACGGCUAACUACGUGCCAGCAGCCGCGGUAAUUC
rnacentral:rRNA from 1 species